GGGAACCAAGGCAAGGACACAACGUGGUCUGAAUGGAACUGCUGGGCCGAGUGAGAUACAUCCAGCCUUUUGGAUCUACAAAUUAAGGUGAAACAGAAUCUCCUCAAAGGCAUACUCCCAACUGAAGCUGUUCAGACCUGUUGAAUUUCUUCAUGUACACACUCAAACAUUUUCUCUAUAAAUAGGCACCUUGAUGCUUGGAUACAUCUAGUGACUGUCAAGAUUCCUGAC